rnacentral:lncRNA from 1 species
AGCCUGAAACGGGGCCCCAUGCAGGGUAGAGGGCUGCCAGCUGCCCGGUGACUAGGGGACUGUAAGAUGACCCCAGGAAGCCCCUGGAACAACUCAAGAAACCACUAUAGGGAAGGUGGCUGGUGAUGGGGCUACAAUGGCCAGGGCCUCAUUUUCCCUCUUCUUCAACAAUUUUUUUUGAGCACCUAAAAUGUGCCAGACGUUAUUCUGGCCCUGGGGAUACCACAGUGAAUAAGAUAGACCAAGCCCCUGCCCUCGUGGGACAUCGUGGAGGGCAGUGAGAAAAUUAAGUCAAAGAAUGAGGGAAGAAAGAAAAAGACAGGAGCAGCUCUGUCCAAUGGACUCUCCAUCUAGAUCUGGUCCAUCCGCUGUGGUUCUCACGAUCCAGGUUGCUGGUGAGACCCUAUCUCGCAAGACCUUCACGGGACAGAAGGGCUCAGCACCUUUCCCAAAAUCACUCGUUGAUUCAGCAAACAUUUCUUGGUCCCCUAGCAUGGGCCAGGCAAUGAAUAGAUGAAGAGGAGGUGGUCACAGCCUGCCUUAUAGGAAGCCCUCCCAGAUGGCUCUGGCUCCCAGGGAAUGUGCUGUUCUCUAGGCAGCCCCCACAGGCUCCUGUGCUGGGAAACCACCUGUUUCAACUCUGAUCCCCUUGUCACUCUGGAACCAGGCCCCUGCCAGUAGCAUCUCCAUCUCCCCACCCCCUGCUCUCCAGCCUGGAUGCCCACAUAGAACCGAUAAGCAGCAGGGUGGCCAUUUGUACAUUCCCCACAGUGACAUCAGUGAAGCAUGUCCUCAGGCUCCCCCCAAAAGUCCUAGGCCCCCUGGAGAAAGGGAGGGAGGGCCAGCACGCUGAUUCACAUUGAGUGGCAGCUCUUGGCACACGCCUUCGCUGGCCCACAUUGAGUGGCAGCUCUUGGCACGCGCCUUUGCUCGCCGUGUCCUCUUGCAUCCCACAAGGAAGGGACAGUUGAGCAAAGCAUGGCUCGGAGAGGAAGAGAGUCCCACAGGUCAUCCAGGACAGCCGCCCGACCCUGAGCUCAUGCUCCUGCCAUUACCCAGGACCCACAGACUAUUUUCCCGUGUGUCCCGGUCCCAUCCCCGUCCUGAGCCAAAGUGUGGGCCGCCUCGCCCUGCAGCCCUUCCUCCUCCACACAUACGCCCUGUGUCCUGGGAUACAGCAGGCCAGGAAGAGGGGGACACUUCCUGGCUGUGGGACAAGACAAGACAAAGAUCCUCUUUGGCCGUGGUGGUCCGGUCUAGGCCACA